rnacentral:snRNA from 1 species
AUGGCUUCUUGGCCUUUUGGCUAAGAUCAAGCGCAGGAUCUGUUCUUAUCACUUUAAUAUCCGAUUCGUCCUUAUCCACAUCCCAGCCAGUCAUCUAUC